GACGAACGCUGGCGGCGUGCCUAAUACAUGCAAGUCGAACGCUUCUUUCCUCCCGAGUGCUUGCACUCAAUUGGAAAGAGGAGUGGCGGACGGGUGAGUAACACGUGGGUAACCUACCCAUCAGAGGGGGAUAACACUUGGAAACAGGUGCUAAUACCGCAUAACAGUUUAUGCCGCAUGGCAUAAGAGUGAAAGGCGCUUUCGGGUGUCGCUGAUGGAUGGACCCGCGGUGCAUUAGCUAGUUGGUGAGUUAACGGCUCACCAAGGCCACGAUGCAUAGCCGACCUGAGAGGGUGAUCGGCAACACUGGGACUGAGGCACGGCCGAGACUCCUACGGGAGGCAGCAGUAGGGAAUCUUCGGCAAUGGACGAAAGUCUGACCGAGCAACGCCGAGUGAGUGAAGAAGGUUUUCGGAUCGUAAAACUCUGUUGUUAGAGAAGAACAAGGACGUUAGCAACUGAACGUCCCCUGACGGUAUCUAACCAGAAAGCCACGGCUAACUACGUG
rnacentral:rRNA from 1 species